GUAGGUGAACCUGCGGAAGGAUCAUUAACACGUUAUAAACGUAUCAACCAACCGCGAACUCUGACGUUAGUGGUCGCUCUCAGUUGGAGGCAACUCCCUCUGAGGGUGUACUGCGCCUGAGUAUGUUAGGGGAUAGUGGAGUUUAGGGGCUUCGGCCUCGACACAUUACUUCCUUUAGCAUCGUUCAACAUUAACCCAAACCCUUUUUGUUAUUAUUAUUUCUGUCUUAAAGGACGUGGCGUUUCACGCU
rnacentral:misc_RNA from 1 species